ACCACACCUACGUCAAUCUUGGAAUUGAAUUUUCUUAAUUCCUAUAAACGAAAGAAAAGUAGCUAAAGCAUCCGACUAUUCUCUUCCACUCAAUUGCUCAAAUUUAUCUAUAAAUUGAUGAGCAAAUCCAACAAAACAUGUCCAAAAAGCAAGGCAACACUCUUUUAACUAGAUUUCAAUCUCAAAUAUGGGUAGGAAAGUAAUUGCUUUUGUUAACAUUUUGAUCGCAAUUAUUCUGAUAAUGUCCCCCCAAGUCGCUUUAGCCAGGAAACUUGCGCAGAAUACCGAUACCCACUAUGUAGAAAAAAAGUCGGAGACCCGUAAAGCAUUGAAUCCCAGACGACCUUAUUGCACUGGAAGGUACACCAAGUGCCCACCACCUUAUCACACCUCGCAACGUCCCUGAGAAACUGCAGUCCCAUAUCCGGACCUUAACCGAUCACUUUUAUCCACGUAUUCGUACUGUAACAAAUACCUAUGUCGACGCUUAAAUACUAGUAGUAAAAUAAAGAGACAUUAAAGUCGCCUUUUUAUGGAUGAAAGCUUUUCUAAUUUCUGUACAAGUGCGCAAUGUAAUGCUUAAAAAUCUAUAAUUACUAGUAUAAUAGUAUUAAUGUAUAUUGUAAUUUUCGUGUU